GGAGGGGUCGCAUAGUGGCCGAGUGCGGGCGCCUGCUAAGCGCUUACUGGCGGUAACGUCAGUCGAGGGUUCGAAUCCCUCCCCCUCCGCCA
rnacentral:tRNA from 3 species